CUCGGAUUUGAAAUUGAUUUUUGAAUGAUAAAAGAAAAACAUUAUUUUGAGGAUGAUGAUGGAUUCUCUAGUCUACCGGAGAAUAUUUUUUAAUUAAAAUUAACUAAAAGACAGGUAUUUAAAUUCGAAAAGCAUUUAUAUGUUUAACUAAUCAAAGAAAAGCUUUGGCAUAAAUCAAAAUGGAUAAAAACAAGAAGAUUGAAG
rnacentral:lncRNA from 1 species